CUGUCCCGCUCCCGCCGUCUCUUCCGGUUCUUUUCCUUCUUCUCCGUCGCGGCCGCCGGUGCCUAGAGCCUUGGAUUAGACGGUAUAUCUUUAUCUCGUGCGCCGGGAGAAGUUAAACCUAUGCAGCGACGUAAAUCCGGACGGGAGCGCAGACUCCGCGUUGCUGCCGCCCGGCGAAACGGGAAACUUUAACCACGGCCUGUGGAGACCCAGACCCGACGGACUUUUGGCUAAUGGCAAUUACUGCAAUCCGGUAACGUCAGCUAGCGGAGUACUUCUACCCUACGAAAAUGAACGCGAACUCGACGAUUGGAACACGCUUUGGGAAUUUGUGUGGCACACUUAUGUGGCCGGGAUCUAACUGCGAGGGGGAAAAUCUGCAUCUUACUUCGAGGGAAAGUUUCUCCACGAUAAAAUGCACAACACAGCAAGUUUGCCACGCAAACAUGCAGUCCUAAAAUAUGAAGCUUCACAUGUAUGUAUACCAUCGAAUAUAACCGUGGAAUAUUACAAGCUGACCACAUGCCUGGAAUACCGAGCAACAGCCAGUGUAUCGUAUAGGUACGCAUCACACAUGUGUGGACAAAUGCACACCGUGUAGUAUUAUGCGGUAAUCGCUGCAUUGCCCGCAUCCCUAAAAUAGAAAAAG